UUGACGCCCCAUCUCAAUUUACCAGAAACAAAAUAUGAAAAUCUGCGUUAAAUCCAUACAUAAACAGAUAGGAUACAAAAACACCAAACACACAUGAAACACACCAGCAAUGACACAAUGACCAAGUAAACAUGACACACACCAAGAAUGACACAAUGACCAAGCAAACAUGACACACACCAACAAUGACACAAUGACCAAGCAAACAUGAUACACACCAACAAUAAGGAUACGUUUCACACAUAGAUGCCGUCACAAUCACUUCUGGCAUUCUCAGAUUCAUCAAUGUCUAUGUUUGAUGGCAAUGGUCCACUGUCUGCAGUUCCCUCUUGAGUAUCUUCAUGACUGUAUCUUCUAGAAGGACCUCUCAUGACUAUAUACCAAUUUGAAGACUCAUCCUCCCCAGAGUAAAAGACUUGCCUCACUUGAGAUGCUAGUAUGUACGGGUCACUUGCAAAGGUGGCUUGACUAUGAUUCAUGUUAACAAGUGUAAAACC
rnacentral:lncRNA from 1 species